rnacentral:lncRNA from 1 species
GCAGCAGAUGGUCAAUUCUUCCAGGCAGCGGAGUUCCCAUGGAGUCGUGGAUUCAGUGUGGCCUGGCAUCGAUGGUGCACCACGUGCUAGCAGGGCCAGUUUCCAUGGGACCUCCACCAUACCCUGGCAAGGAAGAUGGUCACUUCUUCUGGGACACAAAGGCCCCCGGAGUCCUAGAGUCCGGAUGGCCUGGAUCCAUGGUGCACCCCUGCUGGUGGAUGGCUCAGGACGGGGCAGUCUCUUGAGAGUCCUUCUGUGUGCUGGCCCAAUAGAUGGUCAAUUCUUCCAAGCAACAGAGUCCCCAUGGAGUCGUGGAGUCAUCGUGGCCUGGCAUCCAUGGUGCAUCUCAUGCUGGCAUGUGGCUCAAGACAAUGUGCUCGGAUCGAUGAUGAGU